ACACUAACCGGGCAGGGACGAUACCAUGAUCCAGAAGGUGGUUUCCUCUGGGCGAGGCUGGUGCGUUGCACUCAGGUGUGCUGACCCCUGCAAUUUCCCCAAAUGUGGGAGGCUCGACCGCAUAACUAGUGCUGGUGGGGGGCUGCAUUUGCGCCGUCCCCUG